CCUACGGGGGGCUGCAGUGGGGAAUAUUGCACAAUGGGCGCAAGCCUGAUGCAGCCAUGCCGCGUGUGUGAAGAAGGCCUUCGGGUUGUAAAGCACUUUCAGCGGGGAGGAAGGCGGUGAGGUUAAUAACCUCAUCGAUUGACGUUACCCGCAGAAGAAGCACCGGCUAACUCCGUGCCAGCAGCCGCGGUAAUACGGAGGGUGCAAGCGUUAAUCGGAAUUACUGGGCGUAAAGCGCACGCAGGCGGUCGGUCAAGGCGGAUGUGAAAUCCCCGGGCUCAACCUGGGAACUGCAUUCGAAACUGGCAGGCUAGAGUCUUGUAGAGGGGGGUAGAAUUCCAGGUGUAGCGGUGAAAUGCGUAGAGAUCUGGAGGAAUACCGGUGGCGAAGGCGGCCCCCUGGACAAAGACUGCCGCUCAGGUGCGAAAGAGUGGGGAGCAAACAGGAUUAGAUACCUGGUAGUC
rnacentral:rRNA from 1 species